GUGGGGAAUAUUGGACAAUGGGCGCAAGCCUGAUCCAGCCAUACCGCGUGGGUGAAGAAGGCCUUCGGGUUGUAAAGCCCUUUUGUUGGGAAAGAAAUCCUGUCGGUUAAUACCUGGCGGGGAUGACGGUACCCAAAGAAUAAGCACCGGCUAACUUCGUGCCAGCAGCCGCGGUAAUACGAAGGGUGCAAGCGUUACUCGGAAUUACUGGGCGUAAAGCGUGCGUAGGUGGUGGUUUAAGUCCGGUGUGAAAGCCCUGGGCUCAACCUGGGAAUUGCAGUGGAUACUGGAUCACUAGAGUGUGGUAGAGGGAUGCGGAAUUUCUGGUGUAGCAGUGAAAUGCGUAGAGAUCAGAAGGAACAUCCGUGGCGAAGGCGGCAUCCUGGGCCAACACUGACACUGAGGCACGAAAGCGUGGGGAGCAAACAGGAUUAGAUACCCGUGUAGUCC
rnacentral:rRNA from 1 species